UUAUGAAACAAAAAAAUUAUGAAUGUAACAUUUCUCUUGUUCUCUCUCUUCCAGCUGGCAAGGUCAGAGAGCAGCGGUGGUGUUGCGGAGGGCUGCAGGGCUCAGAUCAGCGGUCCGCAGACAGAUAGCUCAUCUGCAGGAAGGAGUAGAGUCAGCAGCAGGCCUCAGGUCAAGAGAUUCUCUGGAAGUCUCGCCACACCUGUGUGUAAACGCUGACUGAUCUAGUUGAGGCUCUCUGUGGUCUGAUGUGGGGGUCUGGAACGGACACCUAAGUGGAUGUUAGUGCAUGGGUCAUUAGUUUGGCACUUUAGAGAUCUAAUUCCUUCAUCCUCAGCUCCCUCAUCCUCUUCCUCCUGGCUGCUUUACUAUUUACCUGUGACCUUUGCCCUCCUGGUGACCACCACUUCAUGCUCCACACGAGACGGAGCUACCUCACCAGUCUUCCACCAUCCCAACCCCAUCUGACACUGAAAGUACACCACUAAAGUACACAUAAGCCUCUUCUGUCAUAUCCCUGAUGAUACUAGACCUGAUCAGCCAGCUAGCAACUUCUAAGCAGUUUCAGCUGUUUCAUGCCUAAACGUUGAGGCAUGUUAUUUGAGGAUCGCCCCAUCAAUCAGUAAUGUGGUCCUAAUCAGCCUCGAAUGAGACGUGACAUUGUGGUCCCCACACUGUGAGAUCACUCACGUGGAGGUUAUCAAACAGGCUUCACGUUCCUCUCUAGUCGACUGACGUAGCGCCACAGUUUCUAUGCAACACGACGCUUGUGUGAUGUUGUGUGGCAUGUGAUCUUUGGCAGUUUGAUGCGAUACCGUUUUUUUUAAACUCCCUGAUAAACAAAGAAAUGUAUAAACAUUUUGUGCCUUGCAGUUACUAUAUUUUGUUACACACUGCUUCACCCCUGUUGUGUGUCCUGUGAUCGGUGAGAAAGCAGACGUGUGGCAAGGCUGAGAAUGACAAAUGGGCAUCUGUAAAUAUGUAAACUGUACAUUCAAACCCUGGUGUAUAACAAUGUCAUAUUACUUCAUGGUCGUGUUACUGUUUGUGUUACGUGACGUGGAUAAAUAGUUACUGUUAGACUGCAUGGUGA
rnacentral:lncRNA from 1 species